UGGACCGUAGCUCAGUGGAAGAGCAUCUGCUCUGGAUGCAGAAGGUCCCAGGUUCAACCCCUGGCAGUUCCAA